rnacentral:lncRNA from 1 species
GUAAAAAGAGCAAACGGUUGCCUGCAGAACUUUGAAAGGUUUUUCUUAAGAAAAUUUUGAUUUUUCUUCUAUUCUGGAGUCAUCUUGCUGGUUUUUAGAAGCUGAAACAAAAGUUUGGGGACUUAUUCACUGCUGUUAUUGUUGAGCUCGAGCUAAGAGUUGCAGAUUUCCUUGCAUUUCUUUUGGCUGUUGUUUCCUUUUGCUAGGUAUUUUUGCUGAUCCUUUUGUAUACUUUUGCUGAGUUUUCCUUGAAUGAAAUCUUGUUUUCUUUAAAUAUUCGAGCCUAACCUAAUGAAUCUGAUAUCUCAACUAUGCAAAUCACUUGGAUUUCUUUCUCUGAAGUCUAUUUCAUGUGUAUGAUAACUGAGUUAAAGAUCCCACUUGUUGUCAUUCAUAUAGUUGGUCCAUUAUUGUAAGUUUCAUUUUGUUUGGGUGUUGAUUCUGUAUUAGAAAUGCUGCUGAAAAAAUGAUAAAUUUUGUCUCCCUAUUGUCUUUGAAUAUUGUUAUAAGCUUUAGUUGUUAGAAGUUCAUCAAUUUUAUAUCUUUGUUAAAUACAAAUUAAGGUUGUACUCACAGAAGUUUUGUAUAUGAAAUAUGUGGCUUGGUUUUAAUUUGAGGAGUUCAAAUAUGUUUGCUACUACUACCUGGCUGUAGUUUGCAGAUCUGACCAUAAUUGGCCAUGUUUGUAAACAUGGAGGCCCCAAAAAGUAGUGUCCAGAAGCAUCCUCGGAGAUUCAAAAGCUAAAUGGCCUCAUAUAGGAUAUGUAUUCACUAUGCUCUAAUUAGGAUUCAUUUAUUUUACUUAAUAGUAUAUUGUAAUGCUAUUGUAAUUAUUUUCUUUCAUUUGAUAUACAGAUUAUGAGUCCUAUAUAGGACUAUUGAUUUGUAUGAAGCAGGAUGUCAUUAUUUACAAUGUGAAUCUCAAUAGGCCAAAUUAAGUUUAUGUAUCGUGUUUGUUUCACAUUCAUAUAUGCUAAGAAAUGAAGUUAGAGCAAU